rnacentral:lncRNA from 1 species
UUUGUGUUAAACGUGCUUUCUGAUUUUGAUUGAAGUAGGCUCCAUAUGCUAACCUAAAUGCAUUCUUGUCGUGACUUUGCAUAUCUUAUAGUAGUUUUGAAUUCAGUUGAUAAUAAGUCUUAUUUAUAAAUUUAAUGUAUAACUCAAAAUAGAUGAAAUAAAAUCUUUGGUGUUUCAGCAAAAAUAGUUCUUUAGUUUGUUGGUCAACCCCUAUGGUGAAGG